rnacentral:rRNA from 1 species
ACUCAAAUGAAUUGACGGGGGCCCGCACAAGCAGUGGAGCAUGUGGUUUAAUUCGACGCAACGCGCAGAACCUUACCCGGGCUAGAAAAGCAUGGUAGUCGGUGGAAACACUGAUUUGCUCGCAAGAGAACCAUGAUCCAGGUGCUGCAUGGCUGUCGUCAGCUCGUGUCGUGAGAUGUUGGGUUAAGUCCCGCAACGAGCGCAACCCUUGUCCUCAGUUGCCAUCAUUUAGUUGGGCACUCUGAGGAGACUGCCGGCGUCAAGCCGGAGGAAGGUGGGGAUGACGUCAAGUCCUCAUGGCCCUUAUGUCCGGGGCUACACACGUGCUACAAUGGUCGAUACAGAACGUCGCGUACCCGCGAGGGGAAGCCAAUCGGCAAAAGUCGACCUCAGUACGGAUUGCAGGCUGCAACUCGCCUGCAUGAAGCCGGAAUUGCUAGUAAUCGCUGAUCAGCAGGCAGCGGUGAAUACGUUCCCGGGCCUUGUACACACCGCCCGU